rnacentral:lncRNA from 1 species
GUCAACCCCACUUCCCUGCUUCCGCUCUCUCCGGCCGUAGGGGUGCGGCCGGUUUGCCCUCAGGCCUAAGUCUCAACGUCUGGAACAAAGUAGCUCUUGUGUGGGAGACAGGAGAGGAGCCCUGGGUACAGGAGUCCCACCGGGAAGAAGAGCUCAUCCGACAGGAACCACCCUCACCAGAGCCUCAGAACAUGCGGAAGAACCCAGAAAAGAGUGGGUCCUAAUUUGCUCCGCCAGAAGCAGUUCUUAAUUACCUUGUCCAGAAAGAGCCGGACUUGGUGAUGUCACCUGGACCAGCUUGCAGAAGCAUAUCUGUCACAGUUCUCUGUACUCUCCCAACAACAGCAGAAAAUGAACACAUCUCAGGUGAGUUAUUUGUAUACACCUUUUUUCAUAA